rnacentral:rRNA from 1 species
UACGUAGGGUGCGAGCGUUAAUCGGAAUUACUGGGCGUAAAGCGUGCGCAGGCGGCGCGUUUAAGACAGGUGUGAAAGCCCCCGAGCUUAACUUGGGAAUUGCGCUUGUGACUGCAUCGCUGGAGUGCGGGCAGAGGGGGGAUGGAAUUCCGCGUGUAGCAGUGAAAUGCGUAGAUAUGCGGAGGAACACCGAUGGCGAAGGCAAUCCCCUGGGCCUGCACUGACGCUCAUGCACGAAAGCGUGGGGAGCAAACAGG